rnacentral:rRNA from 1 species
UACGUAGGGCGCAAGCGUUAUCCGGAAUUAUUGGGCGUAAAGAGCUCGUAGGCGGUUUGUCGCGUCUGCCGUGAAAGUCCGGGGCUCAACCCCGGAUCUGCGGUGGGUACGGGCAGACUUGAGUGCAGUAGGGGAGACUGGAAUUCCUGGUGUAGCGGUGAAAUGCGCAGAUAUCAGGAGGAACACCGAUGGCGAAGGCAGGUCUCUGGGCUGUAACUGACGCUGAGGAGCGAAAGCAUGGGGAGCGAACAGG